CCACGCCUCCACCCACCGGCGCCCAAGUCCUCCCCGCGCCGCCUCCUCUGUAUGGCACAAACUUUCCUCCCGGGACGGAACACGCUGCCUCAGGGAGCCCGCGCCCGCGCCUUCUCCUCCGCCGGUCCCAUACGCUGCUGAAAUGGGUUGCGGAUUGAACAAGUUAGAGAAACGUGAUGAAAAACGGCCUGGGAAUAUUUAUUCAACUUUGAAGAGGCCUCAGGUGGAAACCAAGAUAGAUGUGUCCUAUGAAUACCGCUUCCUGGAGUUCACGACUCUGAGUGCUGCGGAGCUCCCUGGGUCCUCAGCAGUGAGGCUGGCCUCCCUGCGUGACCUGCCCGCCCAGCUCCUGGAGCUGUACCAGCAGGGCUUCUCACUGGCGGCCCUGCACCCCUUCGUGCAGCCCACCCAUGAGCGGGAGAAGACGCCCCUGGAGCACAUCUUUAGAGCCAUCCUGAUCAAGAAAACCGACAGAUCUCAGAAAACUGAUCUUCACAAUGAAGGCUACAUCUUGGAAUUAGAUUGCUGUUCCUCCUUAGACCACCUGACAGACCAGAAACUCAUCCCAGAGUUCAUUAAGAAGAUCCAGGAGGCUGCAAGCCAGGGCCUGAAAUUCGUUGGUGUUAUACCUCAGUACCAUUCCUCUGUGAACUCGGCAGGCAGCAGUGCUCCGGUGUCUACUGCCAACAGCACCGAGGACGCCAGAGAUGCAAAAAACGCACGUGGGGAUCACGCGUCACUGGAGAAUGAGAAACCGGGGACUGGGGAUGUGUGCAGUGCUCCGGCUGGGAGAAACCAAAGCCCAGAGCCCAGCUCAGGCCCCAGAGGGGAGGUGCCCCUCGCCAAGCAGCCCAGCUCACCCUCCGGAGAGGGAGAUGGUGGAGAACUUUCCCCACAGGGGGUGAGCAAGACACUGGAUGGACCGGAGAGCGACCCCUUGGAGGUGCAUGAAGAGCCACUCUCAGGGAAAAUGGAGAUCUUCACCCUUUUCAACAAACCGAAGAGCCAUCAGAAGUGCCGGCAAUACUACCCUGUCACCAUUCCUCUCCAUGUCUCCAAGAAUGGCCAGACAGUGAGCGGUUUGGACGCCAACUGGUUAGAGCACAUGAGCGACCACUUCCGGAAAGGAGGCAUGCUGGUGAACGCAGUCUUCUACCUUGGAAUAGUGAAUGAUUCCUUACAUGGCUUGACAGAUGGAGUAUUCAUCUUUGAAGCUGUUUCCACAGAAGAUAGCAAAACCAUACAGGGCUAUGAUGCUAUUGUGGUUGAACAAUGGACAGUCCUGGAAGGUGUCGAAGUGCAGACAGACUACGUGCCCCUGCUGAACUCGCUGGCGGCCUAUGGCUGGCAGCUCACCUGUGUGCUACCAACUCCCGUCGUCAAGACUACCAGCGAGGGGAGUGUAUCCACCAAGCAGAUUGUCUUUCUUCAGAGACCGUGUCUACCUCAGAAAAUCAAGAAGAAGGAAUCGAAGGUUGAGCACAGGGGCUGUACGAGGUGCAAGUUUCGGCAACCCUUGUGCCAGAUGAUUCUGAUGCUUCCCACCCCACCCUGAGCAGCCUGUGGUGCUUUUCCUGAGGACAUUUUCACCAGUUGCUGGGGAAGAGGCCAGUGAGUCGAGUGGACACACCAAAGCCUGAGUCAGGCAUCACCUGGAUUCAGCUCACUGCACCUUUGAUGGCUGAAGGCCACAUUCUCGGCAGGGCCUGCCUGACCUGCUCGGCUCCUCACUCUUGGCAUCACUCCUGCAUUCCUCACGCUUGGUUCCUCAUGUUCUUUGGACACAGAGCCCUGGGAAGGAGCAUCAAGUAAAUGAACAGAUUGGAGCAGCCCCUCACCAGCCAACAACUCCAGGGGGAGCCCACUUGUGGAAGGAGUGCCAAAGCAAUGGUGACUUGAAGCCAGAUGGGCUGGAGUGUGGAGGAAGGUCUUUCUCCAGGCUCUGAAGGUGUAAUGUGCCAGGUGACGGCACAAUGGACCAGAAGGCAACUGCCAGCCCACCAUCAACCACCAGGAGCAGGCAGCCACCAGCUGGAAGAUGGAUCGGCUGCAGAGCGCUGUCAGUUUCAGCUCAGCCACAGGCUCACGGGAACUGCAUGCAUUCAGCAAGUGCAACAUUCAACACACAGCACGCAAAGGGCCCCUGUCAGAUGCUGACAGACACCUGCUGCAGCCUUACAGAGGGAGAUGGUGCCACCUUUGCCUAACAGGUUCCUGGUGGUGGGGCACACAGAUUCCAAAGGAGAGACAUGUGGUUGGAUGUUGGUGUGAAGGUCAUGGCAUCGCAUGCAGGGGGACAAGUCAGUGGAAACUUGAGUCGGCAGGGAGACUUUAGAGAUAGAUUUGUAAAAGCUGCUGUAAUAAGGUUGAACUGACUUUCCUCAGGGAAAAUUCAGAGAGGAUGGGACCCACUGUUUUUUCAGUCAGUAAAAACUUCUAAUCCCAAGCAGCUGUACUCAUCUGGGUGGACUGCUUUCUCUUUCCAUGUACCUAAUUAUUUCCUGCCUCAUUCCAAGAAUGUAGGUGACUGGUGUGGAGCACUUGUUCUACACAAGACCCUCUGGGUCACCUCACAGAUAGGAGUCCUCCAGAGAGGGGGGCUUCACAGCCAGACUCCUUGGAAGAAUCUUCUGCACUGGGUGUCCCCUCCUCACUCCUCAGCUGACAAGGGUCAGCAUCCUGCUCCCACAGGCCUGUGUCCCCUGGUGACCGAGAGUCACUCCAUCUAGUCCUCAUCAUGCCUGAGCUCUUGCAGCCCGGAUGUUGAGACCACCCCCACUCCCUGAAGCAGCUUUUCUCUUGGUUCUUUCCCACCUCAUUCUCCUGGUUUCCCACUAAGUUCCUCAGGGUUCAGACCCAGCCCCAUUUCUCCCUUCACUCUUGCCUCUUCCUUAGAAAAUCUACUUCACCACCUCUGUGCCAAUGACCAUUCCGCCUGCAUUUUCAGCCCUCACUGCACCCCAAGACUCCAGCUCCAUCCAUCCUGUGGCUCGAGCAAACCUAUGACUGUCCCCCUCCCCAUACCUCGCCCACCUGGCCAACCGCCACCCUAUCUAGAGGAAUGGCAUUGCACCUUAGGGGCUAUCCCUGCUGACCCUCCCCUCUCCUUCCCCUAUAUUCAAUCUGUCCUUAAGACCCAUCUGUGUUAGGUCCCGGAGGCUCUGGAAUCCCUCCACUUCUCUCUACCAUCACUCGCCUCAGCUACUCCAAUCUCCUAAUAAUAGAUAUCCCCUUCAAAUAGGUUCCCUAUUCAGAGCCCAAGUGAUCUGUUAAAAAGGCAACUUGAAUCCUGUCAUCCCACUGCUCAAAGGAGUUCUAGUUUUGUAUGACUCUGAAGACAAAGAUGGAAAUCAGUACUGUGGCCCUCAAGGCCCCAAGGGAUCUGGUCCCUCUUACCUCCUCUGCCAGCCUCCCAUUUUCUGUGGCCUCCAGCUCCUCUGUGGCCUCCAGUUCUUCUGUGUCCCCUCUGCCAAGGACAUUCUCCUCCUUUCUAGCUCUACUCGAGCAUCCUUUUCUCAGAACAGUGCUGUCUCCUUUUAUACCAAACCAGACUCCUUUGUACUACACUGGAAAAGAACCACGUUCUUCUCCUUCAGAGCUCUCCUCUGGGCUUUUAGUUAUUUGUGGUCAUUAUUUUAUCCUUCCCAGGCAGAGUCAGACAUAGUCUCCACAAGAGCAAAGACCUUUUUCCUGUGUUGUGUACCCAGAUUUUAGUUGGUGCUCAACAGAUACUUGUUGAAUCAAUGAAUGAGUAAUCAGCUUCUUAGCGAGGACACACAUAGUAUGUCUAGCAUUAAAACUUAAGAAAAGAAACUGCAAGAUUGGCACACCGAGGAUGUGGCAUAUUUAGUCUUCUUUUAAUCAGCAACAUGGAUAGAAUUUUCUAAUCAAGACUUUUCAGCAUUGGAAAGAAACCUCUGUGUACGUGCGUGUGAUUUUCAAGGCAAAUAUUAAACUUCCUCAAAGGGAGUAGGUGAUUUCUACAACUCGGGAAGACUUCCUUCCAGCUAAACUACUUGAAGUGGACACAUCAUGGGCAGUUUUUAAAAUGUGCAAAUUAAAUCCAUUGGCUCCUGCUGACAUGGAACUCUGGACACACACUGCUGUAAAGUGAAGGAUUUCUUUUUUUCUUUUAGACAGUUAUUUCUGAAUUGGGCGGCUAAUUGGAUUUGGUGACACACCCAACUGCCACAGAUGCUCUGGCUUGGGAAGGCCCCCAACUCAGUGCAACCUGUUUUAUCUGUGGCUUGCUGGUUAAGCUCAGAGACUCCCCCGGUCCUACUCAAAACCUGGAGUCCAUUCCCCAGGCUGGACUUGCCUGCCUUUAAGUGGUGUGGAUGUCAGAGCUCACCUCAGAGGCUCAACUGAAAUCUGGCACAGUCCAGGCCUCCUCUUGCUUUCUGAGACGUCUCCUUUUUGAAUUGUUGGGAUCUGAAACAGUUUUUGUUGUUUGUUUUCUACCAUUUGUGUUCUCGUUUUGUAUUAUAUCAGCAGAUCAACAAGAUGUGAUCUUCUACAGGAAACUGGAUAUGGCCAGGCAUCCAGAGGAAACUAUGGAAGCUCUGUUAUUUAGCAAGAGCAGCCGGGCUCAUAUUAGAUGGAAGGUCUAGCACGUGGUGGAAUUGUCCUCAGUUGUACACUGCACAACAGCAGAGGGCGCUAUUCACAUCAAAUACAAUAUGAAUGGGGCCCUGGAGGUGUGCACCGCAGCCCUGGAGGUAGAGACAACCAUUUUAGAGAUGAGUAACUUGAAACUCAGAUUCAUAACCUGCCUAAAGACUGACAGCUAAUGAGUGCCAGCACUAGGAUUUGAACCCAUACUAUAAUGCUUUGACAUUUUAGCACUUAAGGCCUCUCAGCCAAAACAAUCACCACUUUUUUGGCAACAGUAAAACUUCCUCUGACUUCCCUGAGAGCCAACUGCCUCUCGGAGUACUAUAUUACACAGGUAGGCUUCACUGGUCCUUUUCUAAAAACACGUAAAAUGAUAUAAAAUGUGAAGAGGCUCUGACUGUUUUGGAACAUCCAUUAAAAAAAAGGAGAGACUCUUACAUUUGGGCUGGAAUUAAAAUGCAACGGCAGCUGUCUGACACAGGGCAGCAGUUACGAACCAUAACACGGUGCCUGGAAACUAUGGAAGCUUGGUGGAGGCAGCCACGGUCAUGCUGAGGGCUAAAAUCAGGGGCCUCCUCUGGUGGGUUUGGAGCCUCGAGAUGCCUGCCUGGCAGGCUCGGCUUAAGUAGGAGGUGGGUCUGAGACACCACUUAGCCUACAGAGUGAUUCCAUUAUUGGGAUCCUCACAGUUUGGGUGGAAGAAGCUCCACCCAUCUCCUAGGGGAAGUCUGUCAGCUACAGUACGAGACAUUUCAAAAGAAGUCAAAGGAGAAACCCAUCCAACAUUUUUCAGUGGCGAUUCUCCAGAGAAGAAAUGCACAACAGGCAGAUGAGGAAAUCAAAAGGUAAACUCAGUGCCAGAGACAAACAACAAGCAGAAGAAAAUGAGAAGAACUUAGAAGACCAGUCUUCCAAAGCUGGAGACAUGGGGAACUGUGUUUCGGGACAGCAGCAGGAGGGUGGAGUCUCCGAGGAGAUGAAGGGCCCUGUCCAAGAGGACAAGGGAGAACAGCUGUCCCCUGGUGGCCUGCUGUGUGGGGUGGGUGUGGAGGGUGAGGCUGUGCAGAAUGGUCCUGCCAGCCACAGCAGGGCCCUGGUGGGGAUUUGCACUGGGCACUCCAAUCCUGGAGAGGAUGCCAGGGACGGGGAUGCUGAGGAAGUCAGAGAGCUUGGUACGGUUGAAGAAAACUGAGUCUUGGGCAAUUUGUGCUAAAACUAGGUGAGUUGCCAAACCCAAGGCAUCUUACCAACAGCUGGUUUGGGGGCUGGUUUCCCUGGUGUUGUGUGUUACCUACCCUUUGGCUUGGCUUGACCUCUCCUUGUGAGCUCACCUGAGCCCUCCCAGGGCCAGGUUCCUGACAGUGUUGGUUUUUGCACAUCCACUGGAAAGGUGUCAUUAAUGACCCAGUGUUAGAAUGCAAGAGGUCAGGUUAUUUCUUCUAGCCCUCAUGGCUGAAGGCCCAGUCCUGGCUCCACCACUCCUCCAGCCAGAGGGUCUGGACCAUCCAGUGCCUGUCCUCGCCACAGGGCCUCCAGGGAGCAUUCGGGUCAAAUCCAUGGAUACCCUGGGCUACAAACCAAGGCUGUUCAUCCCACAUCGUGUGGGGCAGUGUCCAUCCCCUGCAGCUACUUGGUGACUUAACAACUCCAGGAGCCCUGUCAGCUGCCCUCCUCCACCUAAACCCCUUCGACUCUUCUGCUUUGACAAAGAAAAUGACAUUGGGGAGGGGAGGUGCUCCGCCUCCCAGCUUUUCUCAAAAUAGUCCUAUAGAUACUGGUAAUCUGGAAAUGAAGAAGUAAUUCUGUGUCUGCACCUACUCUUGCAGAAUGUUCAAGGAAGUAUUCUGUGUUAGUAUUAAUGCCAAAAAGUUGUUUUUAAAGGUUUUGUACUCAGCACAUCAUACAAACCACAUUACUUCUGUCACUUCAGGGCAUCGGGACUGGCUGGCGCCCUUGUUAUGUGCUAUUUUAAUCAGUGUAACAUUGGUCAAGUUGUUACCCAUGUAUGCUGUGUUUAUCAUGUGUAUAUCGUCCAGAAAGUAUUAAGGCUUUACGUAGAUGCAACUGGCGAACCUUGGAGAGGGAAUACUGAUUGUCUUGACCAAACCCACAGCCUGUCUCUUCUCUUGUUUAGUUACUUACGGCAAUAAAUCAUCUAUGAGUUA